GUCUGCUUCAGACAGGCUGCAAUGACUUACUAUGUGAGCGACUCUCUUAAGAAUAGCUCAGGGGUCUUCUGAACUCCAGGUCAGCUGAACACAAGGCAAUGUCAACAGUGUUGUUUUUUUCUCAGACUAACAUGCAAUGAAAUGUGGUGAUACAGCCAUGUGGUUGGGGUUGAGAAGUGUGAGUUCAGAAGUUUACAGAUGUUGUCCCACAGGAUGAGGAGGAGGUGUCAUGAAUACCUGGAGGGGUUCAGUGGAGACCGGUUUUAUACGACUCCUAACCAUACUACCUCAAAACAGGCAAAAAAAAGGCAGCCUGGGAACCGCAAGCAGAAGAAGAGUAAAAACAUCUUCAAGAAAGAGGUUCAAAUGAGUGCGUUGGCCUUUUAAGGAGAUCAGCGUGGUGACAGAUUGAACACAGGAGCUGUUAUUACAGUGCGAGGUUCUUUUAUGAUCAGAUAAGACACAGGUGUGACCCCAGGCAAUGAUUCACUCUUCAGCCUGGGCCCCACCUGAACUUGUGUAAUAAUUUCUUGACAUUCACCGGAGAGGCUCAGCAAAGCACCCAUUAAAAUCAUUAGACCAGCCCUGAGUUUCAACAUGCCUCGUGUGGGGACUUGUUCUCUGCCUAUGGUAAGAGGAAAACCAGUGAGCCGUGUGCCAGUGGAGAAAUGUUACAGCUUGUCAGAUAUCUGUGUGUCUUGGCUGCUCCAGUGGUAUCCUCUAAACUUACUAUCCAAGCACUGUUAAAGGUGAAACGCACUUCAAAGUAAUCCCUGUACUAGGAAUGUGACAAAUCUUUCAAGGUGGAAUAAAUAA